GCCUCCAUGGGUCAAGACAGACUCUGUGAUCUUGCUCUGUUGAGUGUAGAAAGAGAAGAAACUGAAAAAACUAACUUUGAUCACAUCAUAGACCAAUUUGCAUCAGUGAAAGCAAGGAAGGUGCAGUUAUAAUUUUCAGGGACUGGCCCCAUUUGGCCCGAAAAAGGAACAUCCACUGGAUUUGCUCCCUCGGAAGUCACCUGAAGAGGUCUGUCUCCAGCUACCACUGGUGUGUCUGAUGGUGACUCAGAGGCGGGCCUUCUCUGUAGCCGCUCCUGGACUGUGGAAUGCACUCCUGGCAGAAAUCCGCAAUUUGAAUUCUUUAUUGGCCUUCAGGAGAGCCCUUAAAACCUAUCUGUUUGGCUUGGCCUUCCAGGAUUUUUAAACAGUUGUAAUUGGUUUUAAUGUUGUAACCUGGUUUUCAGGGUUUUUUAAUUGUUCUGAUUGCUUAAUUGCUGUUUUAUGAUAUUUUAAUUGUUAAUUGUUGUUGUUUUACACUGUUUUAUAAUUUAUGUUUUAAUUGUUAAUUGAUUUUAAUGGUUUUGUUUUAAUUGUAAACUGCCCUGAGCCAUUUUGGAAGGGCAGUAUAAAAAAUUGAAUGAAUGAAUGAAUAACAGUGCAGAGACCAUAACAACAAUGCACCAUACGGACAAACUACACUAACUUUACUUGCUCAUUAAUAAAUUGUCAAAUGUCAACAAAAAGCAAGAGCAAACAGGACAGCCUUCAGAUGACACCUAAGAGCCCCUGGUGGCGCAGUGGUAAAACUGCCGCCCUGUAACCAGAAGGUUACAAGUUCGAUCCUGACCAAGGGCUCAAGGUUGACUCAGCCUUCCAUCCUUCCGAGGUCGGUAAAAUGAGUACCCAGAAUGUUGGGGGCAAUAUGCUAAAUCAUUGUAAACCGCUUAGGGAGCUUCCAGCUAUAGAGCGGUAUAUAAAUGUAAGUGCUAUUGCUAUUGCUAAGUGCUAAAAGAUAGAGGGGCUAUUCACAUGAUGGCAAGGGUGGGCAGGUGUGGGGGGGAGGUGUGUUCAACCUACCUUCCCCCAAAUGAUCAUGUUGAGCCUCUGUACCAUGCAAGCCAUGUGCCCACAUGACAUAUGCUGCUCCUGACAGCGUGGAUCAGCAGAGGCUGGGACUCAUUAUCCCAGCCUCUAAAUAUCCCACAGUGCACUGCAUGCUGAUUGCAGGGCACUGGGUGAUUCCCCCAGGCAACAGGCACUCUAGGCACCUGUCUCUGUUCCAGCGCAUGCUAUACAAGCAGCUCAUGCUGACACAUGAUCAGCUGGGUUAAGGGUGUGUUUGUGCCCUCAACUGCAGCUAAGAGCCAUGCUUCAGCAGUGUGUCUGGCACUGUGGGGCCACUGGGAUCCCUGUGGAUCCUGGCAGUUCUUAUGGCAGCCAAGCCCAGGCUUGGCAGCUUGUGAGAACAGUCUUAGUGGCUGACAUACUGCUCAGCAUUCUGUCUGAAUAUUAAUGAAGCAUGCAUGCAGUUGCGCAAUUGCAACUUUUAGAUUGUGAUCACUUUGGGACAGGAAGCCAUUUUAUUUAUUUAUUUUUAUUUCUUUACCUAAACCGCUUUGGGAACUUUAGUUGAAAAGCAGUAUAUAAAUAUCCAUAGUAGUAGAACUAGUAGUGUUAGCACUCUUGCACAAACAUAUGAAAUGGUGCAAACUGAGCCGGGCAAUGGACGGCCAUUGUACAACUGUGUUUGCACAAUUUUUGCAACAGCGUGUACUUUUUGUUAAAAUGUACAUGGAAUGUUGUGCAAUAUGUCAGCCAGCAGAAUUAUUGGCUGCACACAAACUAGCUGUAACUCUCCCUUACCCAGUUGAAGCACAGUCACUGGGGUUGAGCCAGCUGCCUGCCUCUUCGAUGAGGCAGAAAGGCUUAGUAUUGGCCAUGGCAUCUGGUCCUCCUAGUUUGUUCUUUAUUCUGGCGAUGCUCGUAAAUCAUUGCCAUGGAUGCCUAGAGCUUAGCACAGGUCUUCCUCUGUCUGUUUAUAGUACUCUAAAUAAAUAAAUAAGUUAUGCAAGCUGUGUGUCUCAGCAAAUCCCCUGAGAGUCCCUUCCAAUUUUUCGGUAUGAAAUGUGUGCUUUUGUAGGCCAUAACUCACAAUCAUGUUGCUUUUGUAUGUUUACUUGCCUUCUGCAGUAAUAUGCUAAUGUAGUUCACUCAGGGGUUUAUGAGAGUUCAAUAAACAAC